CCCCUCUCAGGAUCGCACCUGGAGAGUUUCCAGUACUCUACCAGUCCCGGAUAUGGGAGGUAGAGUCACGAAGAGGCAUACCCAUUUUAUUCCCAGUUUGGGAAGUGGCUAGGGAGUGGAAGGCAAUCUGCUACAAGU